CCUACGGGAGACAGCAGUGAGGAAUAUUGGUCAAUGGUCGGGAGACUGAACCAGCCAAGCCGCGUGAGGGAUGAAGGUACAGAGUAUCGUAAACCUCUUUUGUCAGGGAACAAAGGCGGGGACGUGUCCCCGGAUGAGUGUACCUGAAGAAAAAGCAUCGGCUAACUCCGUGACAGCAGCCGCGGUAAUACGGAGGAUGCGAGCGUUAUCCGGAUCUAUUGGGGUAAAGGGGUGCGCAGGGGUUCUGUUAAGUCAGCGGUAAAAGCCCGGGGCUCAACCCCGGCCCGCCGUUGAAACUGGCAGGCUCGAGUUCGAGAGAAGUAUGCGGAAUGCGCGGUGUAGCGGUGAAAUGCAUAGAUAUCGCGAAGAACUCCGAUUGCGAAGGCAGCAUGCCGGCUCCACACUGACGCUGAGGCACGAAAGCGUGGGUAUCGAACAGGAUUAGAUACCCCUGUAGUC
rnacentral:rRNA from 1 species